GCUGUUAACAGAGUCGGAAGCUCUGCAACUUCACGUCUUCACCCUUGAACUUCGCCGUCUUUCGUUCUCAGGCGGCGUUAGGGUUUUACGGUUGCAAUUUCGACGUCAAAAAUUCAAGUCGAGAUCUGAGCUCGUUAAACGCCUAAUGCUGCUAUGAGAUCCAUGUUAGAGAUGUAAUGUGAGAAGAAGCACAUAAAAAAGCCUGAUAUCAAAGCGUCUUUGGCCUAGCAGUAUCCGAGCAUUUGGCUUCCCAGAAGGUCAGGGGUUCAAACUUCACCAAAGGUUAGGAGGGUUAGUGAGUUUAUAUGUUGCAUUUGUCGUAUAUAAUAUUAUAUACUUCCUAAAAUAGCCUGAUGACAAUGCUUAUUUUUCUUCUCAUGCAUCUCAAGUGAUUUUGAAAAUCAACCAACGGCCCUACUUCUUGAAUCUUGUUCAUUCUUAUAUGCAGCAAACAGUUUCUUGUUUGCAACUCUUUCUAUUUAUUUUGUUAAUGCUUACUCAUAUCUAGCUUUUCAAAUCUUAGCUUAUCUGUUUUUUUCAC